CCAAAAACAGUUGCCCACGAAAGCGACGACCAAACAAGCAUGGCGGCCAUCCUCGCGCGCGCCGGUGCCGCCGCCGCCGUCAGCGGCAGCCUCCCGAAGUCCACUGGUCCCCGGCGCCACGCAGCAUCGUCGCCGCGGUGACCCGGACCGGGCAGGCGGUGCCACAGGAAGGGGCGUUGGAGCGUCCGGCGUGGUCUGGCGGGACGCCGCUCUCGCGGCUCGUCGGCGGGCUCAUCGCCUUCAAGCCGCUCUACUCGGUCAUGAAGCUCGCCUCCCGCGAGGUCAUCGUCAGGACGGCGGAGAAAUCGAACAUCCCGUGGAGGGAGAUGACGAAAAAGGUGCUGGAGUCCGACGUGUACCAGGUGUUCGAGAGGAUACGAGAUCCAAACUUAGUUUACCCUGACUAUUAUCUGAGCCCGUUUCACGCCUAUGAUGAAGGGAAUCUAUCAUGGCUGGCUGCAGCAGAAGCUGAACCUGCGACAAUGUCCAUUGCCAAGAGGGCCAUACCAGAGGCGACAUCAAUCGAAGAAGCAAGUCAAAUUGUUCGAGGAAACUGGUUGAACGCAAUCGAGGAGCACCACCUCAAGUACUCGGGGAACUGUGAGAUUAAUGAUAUCUUGGACAUUGGCUGCUCUGUUGGAGUAAGCACCAGAUACCUGGCUGAGAAGUUCCCUUCAGCUCAAGCUGUUGGACUCGACCUGUCACCAUACUUCCUCGCAGUGGCUGCACAGAAGGAAGAAAAACUAUCACGACAGAAUCCUAUUCGUUGGGUUCACGCCAAUGGUGAAGCAACUGGAUUGCCGUCAGAUUCCUUCGACCUUGUCUCCUUUGCAUAUGUGUGCCAUGAGUGCCCAGCACGAGCAAUAACAGGAUUGGUGAAGGAAGCAUUCCGGGUCCUUCGCCCAGGAGGAACCAUCGCCUUAACCGACAAUUCGCCAAAAUCCAAAGUACUUCAGGAACUAUCCCCAGUGUUGUUCACUCUGAUGAAGAGCACCGAGCCAUUUCUGGACGAGUACUACAUGCUGGAUUUGGAGGAGACGAUUGGACAAGUUGGCUUUGUCAACGUUUGUUCUAUCCUGACUGACCCCAGGCACAGAACAGUCACUGCAACCGUGCCUUACUGAUUGGAUUGAAGUCACCUGCAAACCAUUUAAGUCCACUUUCAAAGAAUUGAGUAAGGCACGGAUAUGUUGUAUGCUUAACAGGGUUAAUUGUAUACUUUCAAAGAAUUGAGUAAUCUACAUAUCCGUGCAUGCAGCAAACAACAGAUCGAAGUACAGACGAACAUUAACUUCUGAAAGUCUGAUAGCAAGAUCGUGCUGAUCCGAUGUUUCAAGGAAACAUCAUAAAAUCGAAUAUAAGUGCCAAUGGAAAAACUCAUGAUGUAUGGCUGAGAAUUCCUUUUAUCAAGUAAUUCUGAAUUGUUCAUCAGCUGAUUUGGGUUA